GUCCACGCCUUAAACGAUGAGAGCUAGUUGUCAGUAAGCAUGCUUAUUGGUGACGCUGCUAACGCAUUAAGCUCUCCGCCUGGGGAGUACGGCCGCAAGGUUAAAACUCAAAGAAAUUGACGGGGGCCCGCACAAGCGGUGGAGCAUGUGGUUUAAUUCGAAGCAACGCGCAGAACCUUACCCACCUUUGACAUCCCGUGCUACCUAGAGAGAUCUAGGGUCCCUUCGGGGCGCGGAGACAGGUGCUGCAUGGCUGUCGU
rnacentral:rRNA from 1 species